UUAAAAUAGUUUAAAUAAAAUAUUGAUUUGUGGUGUCAAAGAUUAAAAUUUAUUUUAAUAU
rnacentral:tRNA from 1 species